UAGGGAAUCUUCGGCAAUGGGGGCAACCCUGACCGAGCAACGCCGCGUGAGUGAAGAAGGUUUUCGGAUCGUAAAGCUCUGUUGUAAGAGAAGAACGUGUGUGAGAGUGGAAAGUUCACACAGUGACGGUAACUUACCAGAAAGGGACGGCUAACUACGUGCCAGCAGCCGCGGUAAUACGUAGGUCCCGAGCGUUGUCCGGAUUUAUUGGGCGUAAAGCGAGCGCAGGCGGUUUAAUAAGUCUGAAGUUAAAGGCAGUGGCUUAACCAUUGUUCGCUUUGGAAACUGUUAAACUUGAGUGCAGAAGGGGAGAGUGGAGUUCCAUGUGUAGCGGUGAAAUGCGUAGAUAUAUGGAGGAGCACCGGUGGCGAAAGCGGCUCUCUGGUCUGUAACUGACGCUGAGGCUCGAAAGCGUGGGGAGCAAACAGG
rnacentral:rRNA from 1 species